rnacentral:rRNA from 1 species
GGGCCUGCACAAGCGGUGGAGUAUGUGGCUUAAUUCGAUGCAACGCGAAGAACCUUACCUGGCCUUGACAUGCAUCUCUAAGCGUGUGAAAGCACGUGACCCCUCGGGGAAUUUGCACAGGUGCUGCAUGGCUGUCGUCAGCUCGUGUCGUGAGAUGUUGGGUUAAGUCCCGCAACGAGCGCAACCCUUGUGUCCUGUUGCCACUUCCGCUAGCGCGGAAAGCACUCUGGACAGACUGCCUCGUCUCAACGAGGAGGAAGGUGGGGAUGACGUCAAGUCAGUAUGGCCCUUACGGCCAGGGCUGCACACGUACUACAAUGCCUGGUACAAUGGGAAGCAAUACCGUGAGGUGGAGCAAAUCCUCAAAACCAGGCCCAGUUCAGAUUGUAGUCUGCAACUCGACUACAUGAAGUCGGAAUC